rnacentral:misc_RNA from 1 species
GAAAUAUCUAUUUUUCUCAGAAAAUCUUUUCUUCAAAAAAUAUUUUCCAUAUUCAAAUUAUUUACAUUUCUCCAUCGAUCAGUCCAAAGAAUGAAGAACUAAGUUUCGAGAAUACAACAAAAAGCGGUGCAGCAACAAUGCAUUAGAAAACAAGAUCUACCAGUACUAACCAGGGCACUCAAAUUUAUCUUUCCCUGCUCUAGACGUUAUUAGAAAACAUUAAAAGGGAGCAAAAUGCUUGAAAAAUGAAGAGUUCAAAACUACAACAGAUCAAACGCAAGUAUGAAAAAGUCUUGAGCAUACUAUAAAUAGAGAUACAUUCACAAAGGCCAUAAUUUUAGAAGUGAUUAUCUAUUCUUUACCAAGAAGCUUGAAAAAGGAGGGUGCUGAGUGCUACCGUUUGACAGGCUUAUAAAGGACAACAGUGAC